GUGCUCUGUCUCUCUCCCUCUCUUUCUCUGGUUCCCGAAAUUCGCCUGCUUCGGAGACGAAUCGAAGACGGUGUUUGGUGACGCCACCGGAAUUAACUAUUGGGAAAAUGGACGCCGAAGCUGAAGUUGAUGUGGACCGGACGGUGGAUGCAGAAUCUGGGUCGAAGAAAGCGAGCGGCGGAAGAUCGGAGCCGUCUUCUUCGAAUCAGCGGGAGAUAUUGAGAACACUUUAAUGUUUCGGUAGCUUGCUCUGGACCGGCCCUGGCAGUGAUUAUCAAGUACUUCGGAAGUAUCAUAUUGAUAUCACCAGUGAUUUGUUGAUGCAUAUAUCUUCUUUCUAUUCUACAAUUAUACAUGAAAUAUCAAAGAGUUGCAUAUGUGAAAGUACCUCAAGGCUCAGAGACUACGGACAGAAAUGGCGUGCUUGUAAACGUCAGCAAUAUCAUUCACUGAUUAUAAUAAACGAUUUCUUAUAUGAAUGAUUAUACACUAAUCAGUUUUUUUAAUCAGACAUUAUUAAUUAUUUAAUUGAAUCAUCUAUUAAACAAUUUGUCAUUGGAGAUCAUUUAUACUCCGUGUUUCGUACGAGUUUUUGUAUUAUUUGUGACUUUUGUACUGCAAAGCAUGUGAUUUUCCUAAGAUAUGCUUUUAAGAUAAUAAAUGUUUUUUUUGUAUGUCUUAUCAGGAGAAAGCUAUAUUUUUAUUUAACUUUUGUUAUUUUUAUAAAAAAGAAAUCUUAAGAGUCACUUUUGGAAUGUAAGGUAAAAACAUAACUAAAUUUAUUUAAAUUAGGAUGAAUGUCUUAAUGAAUGUGUUUUUAUUUGGGGAAGGUCCUCUAGUUCAGUGGUUUGACUAAAUGUUCAUUAAUGCUUCUACAUCAGAAAGUAAGGUGUACCGUCAAACAUAGAUUUUAUUGGACGGUAGAAUUGUCGGUUGUUAAAUCAUCUGUAUAAUUAUCCAGCGUUAAAAAAAGAAUAGUGUUUUUCUUUGUUUGACGGUGGAUUACCUUUUUAAUAGUAAUCUGUAUUAUCACUCGAACAGUUGUGACAAACUUACGCUAAAACGUUAUAACAAGUUAACAAUCAUUUAGAGUCGUACAAGAAACUAAAAUAAACAGUUACAAUAAAACUAAAAUAAAUAAAUAUUUCGAAUCCAUCGUUUCCGCGUGAACUUGGCAAGUAUUUUCAUCAAAU